AUACGUAGGUGGCAAGCGUUGUCCGGAUUUAUUGGGCGUAAAGCGAGCGCAGGCGGUCUCUUAAGUCUGAUGUGAAAGCCCCCGGCUCAACCGGGGAGGGUCAUUGGAAACUGGGAGACUUGAGUGCAGAAGAGGAGAGUGGAAUUCCAUGUGUAGCGGUGAAAUGCGUAGAUAUAUGGAGGAACGCCAGUGGCGAAGGCGGCUCUCUGGUCUGUAACUGACGCUGAGGCUCGAAAGCGUGGGGAGCAAACAGGAUUAGAUACCCUGGUAGUCCACGCCGUAAACGAUGAGUGCUAAGUGUUGGAGGGUUUCCGCCCUUCAGUGCUGCAGCUAACGCAUUAAGCACUCCGCCUGGGGAGUACGGCCGCAAGGCUGAAACUCAAAUGAAUUGACGGGG
rnacentral:rRNA from 1 species